rnacentral:tRNA from 1 species
GGGUGCUUAGCUCAGCGGGUAGAGCACCGCCCUUACAAGGCGGAAGUCGGGGGUUCAAGUCCCUCAGCACCCA